rnacentral:ribozyme from 1 species
UGCCCAGCAACUCCUAUCCCUUCCUCCUCGCAGUACCGGCCAGUAACUAUGCGCAACCUUAGGGUAAACAACCCCGGUGGGAACUUUGGUCGUAGGCUGACAGGGAAGG